UGGGAACUGCAGUGGAUGGCCACAGUUGA
rnacentral:piRNA from 1 species